GUGGGUUGUAGCUGAUUCUUCGGAGUAUGUGCUCGCCUCGUCAUCUUUAUCUUUCCACCUGUGCACUCUUUGUAGAUUUGGAUUGUCAAUUAUUUCUGAAUGGCAGUUGUGAGGAAUGCUUUAUUUAUUAUAAGGCUUUCCUUUUGAUGACCCAAGUCUAUGUCUUUUUUAUAUGCUCCAAUGAAUGUUAACAGAAUGUAAAGACUAGGUUUAAUACCUAUAAUAAAUUAUAUACAACUUUCAGCAACGGAUCUCUUGGCUCUCGCAUCGAUGAAGAACGCAGCGAAAUGCGAUAAGUAAUGUGAAUUGCAGAAUUCAGUGAAUCAUCGAAUCUUUGAACGCACCUUGCGCCCCUUGGUAUUCCGAGGGGCAUGCCUGUUUGAGUGUCAUUAAAAUAUCAAUCCCUUAUUCUCAUGUUUGAGUGGAUUGGAUGUGGGGGUUUAAUUUUGCUGGUUUGAAUAUAAUCUGCUCCCCUUAAACAUAUUAGCUGGUGCCCCAUUGUGUAUGGGACUCUUUCUAUUGGUGUGAUAAUUAUCUACGCCGUUGGGAUGAGUCUGAUUCUUUUAAAAUGGAUGUGUGCUGCUUUCUAAUCGUCCGUUAUUGGACAAUUUAUCUGACAUUGACCUCAAAUCAG
rnacentral:rRNA from 1 species